GACUAAGCAUAUCAAUAAGCGGAGGAAAAGAAACCAACAGGGAUUGCCUCAGUAACGGCGAGUGAAGCGGCAACAGCUCAAAUUUGAAAUCUGACCCCUUCGGGGCCCGAGUUGUAAUUUGUAGAGGACGCUUCGGGUGCGGCGCCGGUCUAAGUUCCUUGGAACAGGACGUCAUAGAGGGUGAGAAUCCCGUAUGCGACCGGCGGUCAACCUCAUGUGAAGCCCCUUCGACGAGUCGAGUUGUUUGGGAAUGCAGCUCAAAAUGGGUGGUAAAUUUCAUCUAAAGCUAAAUACCGGCCAGAGACCGAUAGCGCACAAGUAGAGUGAUCGAAAGAUGAAAAGCACUUUGGAAAGAGAGUCAAACAGUACGUGAAAUUGUUGAAAGGGAAGCGCUUGCAACCAGACCUGCCCGCGGGCGAUCAGCCGUUAUUCUUAGCGGUGCACUCGUCCGCGAUCAGGCCAGCAUCGGUUCGGGCGGCCGGAUAAAGGCUUCGGGAAUGUAGCUCCCCCCGGGGAGUCUUAUAGCCCGGGGUGCAAUGCGGCCAGCCCGGACCGAGGACCGCGCUUCGGCUAGGAUGCUGGCGUAAUGGUUGUAAGCGACCCGUCUUGAAACACGGACC
rnacentral:rRNA from 1 species